rnacentral:rRNA from 1 species
GACGAACGCUGGCGGCGUGCCUAACACAUGCAAGUCGAGCGAGUAGAUCCCUUCGGGGUGAAGCUAGCGGCGGACGGGUGAGUAACACGUGGGCAACCUGCCUCAUAGAGGGGAAUAGCCUUCCGAAAGGAAGAUUAAUACCGCAUAAGAUGGUAGCUUCGCAUGAAGUAGCAAUUAAAGGAGCAAUCCGCUAUGAGAUGGGCCCGCGGCGCAUUAGCUAGUUGGUGAGGUAACGGCCCCCCAAGGCGACGAUGCGUAGCCGACCUGAGAGGGUGAUCGGCCACAUUGGGACCGAGACACGGCCCAGACUCCUACGGGAGGCAGCAGUGGGGAAUAUUGCACAAUGGGGGAAACCCUGAUGCAGCAACGCCGCGUGAGUGAUGACGGCCUUCGGGUUGUAAAGCUCUGUCUUCGGGGACGAUAAUGACGGUACCCGAGGAGGAAGCCACGGCUAACUACGUGCCAGCCGCCGCAGUAA